rnacentral:rRNA from 1 species
GACGAACGCUGGCGGCGUGCUUAACACAUGCAAGUCGAGCGAUGAAGUUCCUUCGGGAAUGGAUUAGCGGCGGACGGGUGAGUAACACGUGGGUAACCUGCCUCAUAGAGGGGAAUAGCCUUCCGAAAGGAAGAUUAAUACCGCAUAAGAUUGUAGUUUCGCAUGAAACAGCAAUUAAAGGAGUAAUCCGCUAUGAGAUGGACCCGCGUCGCAUUAGCUAGUUGGUGAGGUAACGGCUCACCAAGGCGACGAUGCGUAGCCGACCUUAGAGGGUGAUCGGCCACAUUGGGACUGAGACACGGCCCAGACUACUACGGGAGGCAGCAGGGGGGAAUAUUGCACAAUGGGGGAAACCCUGAUGCAGCAACGCCGCGUGAGUGAUGACGGUCUUCGGAUUGUAAAACUCUGUCUUCAGGGACGAUAAUGACGGUACCUGAGGAGGAAGCCACGGCUAACUACGUGCCAGCAGCCGCCGUAACAC